rnacentral:rRNA from 1 species
UACGUAGGGGGCAAGCGUUGUCCGGAAUCAUUGGGCGUAAAGCGCGUGUAGGCGGCCCGAUAAGUCCGCUGUGAAAGUCCAGGGCUCAACCCUGGGAUGCCGGUGGAUACUGUCGGGCUAGAGUACGGAAGAGGCGAGUGGAAUUCCUGGUGUAGCGGUGAAAUGCGCAGAUAUCAGGAGGAACACCAAUUGCGAAGGCAGCUCGCUGGGACGUUACUGACGCUGAGACGCGAAAGCGUGGGGAGCAAACAGG